rnacentral:rRNA from 2 species
CCACACAUUCAAAGAGUGCGUAAUAGCUCACUAGUCGAGAGGUCCUGCGCCGAAAAUGUCCGGGGCUAAAACACGACACCGAAGCUGUGGAAUGUGUAUUCAUACACAUUGGUAGAGGAGCAUUCUUAACGCACAGAAGCAUUACCGUAAGGAGAUGUGGAGUGUUAAGAAGAGAGAAUGCCGGAAUGAGUAGCGAGAUGGAGGUGAGAAUCCUCCAGGCCGAAUAUCUAAGGUUUCCAGAGUAAAGCUGAUCUGCUCUGGGUAAGUCGGGGCCUAAGGCGAGGUCGAAAGACGUAGUCGAUGGACAACAGGUUGAAAUUCCUGUACCGCAUAUCAUCAGAACUGUGGGGACACAGAACCGAGGAAGAACCCGGGAAUGAAAAGACCGGGGCAAGCAUUUUACUGGCUGRGAUGGAAAAUCCGCYCAGCAACAGGAAGGUGUGACGCGUACCGAACACAAGUAGGGAAGUCUUCGUAGGGGCUGUCAAGAAAAGCCGCUAUUGUGUGAUAUGUGCCCGUACCGUAAACCGACACAGGUGGAUGAGGAGAGAAUCCUAAGGCCGGCGGGAGAAGCAUUGUUAAGGAACUCGGCAAAAUGACCCCGUAACUUCGGGAUAAGGGGUGCCUGAGAAAUCAGGCCGCAGAGAAUAGGCUCAAGCAACUGUUUAGCAAAAACACAGGUCUAUGCAAAACCGAAAGGUGAGGUAUAUGGGCUGACGCCUGCCCGGUGCUGGAAGGUUACGAGGAGGGGUUAGCGGCAACGCGAAGCUCUGAAUUUAAGCCCCAGUAAACGGCGGCC